rnacentral:rRNA from 1 species
UACGUAGGGACCAAGCGUUGUUCGGAUUUACUGGGCGUAAAGGGCGCGUAGGCGGCAUGACAAGUCACUUGUGAAAUCUCUGGGCUUAACCCAGAACGGCCAAGUGAAACUGUCGCGCUAGAGUGCGGAAGGGGCAAUCGGAAUUCUUGGUGUAGCGGUGAAAUGCGUAGAUAUCAAGAGGAACACCUGAGGUGAAGACGGGUUGCUGGGCCGACACUGACGCUGAUGCGCGAAAGCCAGGGGAGCAAACGGG